rnacentral:rRNA from 1 species
AGUGAACGCUGGCGGUAGGCCUAACACAUGCAAGUCGAACGGCAGCACAGUAAGAGCUUGCUCUUACGGGUGGCGAGUGGCGGACGGGUGAGGAAUACAUCGGAAUCUACUUUUUCGUGGGGGAUAACGUAGGGAAACUUACGCUAAUACCGCAUACGACCUACGGGUGAAAGCAGGGGAUCUUCGGACCUUGCGCGAUUGAAUGAGCCGAUGUCGGAUUAGCUAGUUGGCGGGGUAAAGGCCCACCAAGGCGACGAUCCGUAGCUGGUCUGAGAGGAUGAUCAGCCACACUGGAACUGAGAAACGGUCCAGACUCCUACGGGAGGCAGCAGUGGGGAAUAUUGGACAAUGGGCGCAAGCCUGAUCCAGCCAUACCGCGUGGGUGAAGAAGGCCUUCGGGUUGUAAAGCCCUUUUGUUGGGAAAGAAAAGCAGCAGGUUAAUACCCCGCUGUUCCGACGGUACCCAAAGAAUAAGCACCGGCUAACUUCGUG